rnacentral:tRNA from 1 species
GGGGGUGUGGAUCAUUGGUAGAACACUUGCCUAUCAUGUGUGAGACACUGGGUUCAUCCCCAGCACCCCCC